GGUUGUGUUGACUGUGUGUCCACACAGGGUCUGGUGCUCGGCGUUUACGAGAGCGAGAAGGAGGACGACUCUCUCCAUCUAACUGAAUCAGCAGCUGGUGUAGACAGAGUUCUGUCUGGUAAACUGACUGAGCUGCUAAAGAUAUCAGGACCAGGUCUGAAGAAAGGGAAGAGCAGAAUAUUCUACGGUCUUCAUGAGGACUUCCCAUGCAUAGCAGUAGUUGGUCUAGGGAGGAACUCUCUGGGUGUGUGUGGGACAGAGUACUGGGACACCUGUAAGGAGAACAUCAGGGCUGCUAUAGCAGGAGGCUGCAGGGUUCUCCAGAACCAUGUGUUGACCCAUAUAGAGGUUGGUGGGUUUAAUAACAGCCAGUCUGUCUGUCAGGAGG